UAAUACGAAGGGGGCUAGCGUUGUUCGGAGUUACUGGGCGUAAAGGGCGCGUAGGCGGCCGAUUUAGUCAGGUGUGAAAGCCCAGGGCUCAACUCUGGAAUUGCACUUGAUACUGGUUGGCUUGAGUACGGGAGAGGAUAGUGGAAUUCCCAGUGUAGAGGUGAAAUUCGUAGAUAUUGGGAAGAACACCAGUGGCGAAGGCGGCUAUCUGGACCGUAACUGACGCUGAGGCGCGAAAGCGUGGGGAGCAAACAGGAUUAGAUACCCUGGUAGUCCACGCCGUAAACGAUGAGUGCUAGACGUCGGGGCUCUUAGAGCUUCGGUGUCGCAGCUAACGCAUUAAGCACUCCGCCUGGGGAGUACGGCCGCAAGGUUA
rnacentral:rRNA from 1 species